rnacentral:rRNA from 1 species
UUGCCCUACGGGACGCAGCAGUGGGGAAUAUUGGGCAAUGGGCGCAAGCCUGACCCAGCAACGCCGCGUGAAGGAAGAAGGCUUUCGGGUUGUAAACUUCUUUUAAGGGGGAAGAGCAGAAGACAGUACCCCUUGAAUAAGCCACGGCUAACUACGUGCCAGCAGCCGCGGUAAUACGUAGGUGGCAAGCGUUGUCCGGAUUUACUGGGUGUAAAGGGCGUGCAGCCGGAGAAACAAGUCAGAUGUGAAAUUCACGGGCUCAACCCGUGAA